UGGCGGACGGGUGAGUAACGCGUGAAUAACCUGCCCUGUACCGGGGGACAACAGUUGGAAACGGCUGCUAAUACCGCAUAAGCGCACGGUUCCGCAUGGAACAGUGUGAAAAACUCCGGUGGUACAGGAUGGAUUCGCGUCUGAUUAGCCAGUUGGUGGGGUAACGGCCUACCAAAGCAACGAUCAGUAGCCGGCCUGAGAGGGUGAACGGCCACAUUGGGACUGAGACACGGCCCAAACUCCUACGGGAGGCAGCAUG
rnacentral:rRNA from 1 species